AGGCAUCUCUUGCCACUGAUGCAUGGCCUCCAGUGUCCAGACUCAAAACAGGUCAAGGCGAAAAGCCAAACACACCAAUCCUAAAGCACUUUCAUAACCGCUUUUCAAAAAAAAAAAAAAAAAAAAAACACAAGGCAAUGUGUAUUGUGCAACGGGAAACCCCACAAGAAGUGAACACAUCGCCCCACGACCCCCCGCCUACAUGUGAUGUCUACUUAUAAAAGCUUGAGCGCACUCUGUAUUAAACAGACUGGAAGAUUAGAGUUGUUUUAUUUUUGAUUUUUUUUGCUGAGAAAAAGCUUAGCUUACUCUUUCGUUGUACUGCUUUUGUUUUAACUCGCAUACUAAAACCGUGUAACUUGUACUUGUUUAUAUAAUUGAUAAAUCGUAACCACUGAGCAUCCAGAAGAGAGUCUUCUCUCGUUUUUGACGCGAGCCUCGUCAGGGGUUAGGAUUAUUUUCGAAACGAAGACCUUUUGCCUGACCGCUUUCGGGUCCGCCGAGGAGGAGAAUGCACGUCCCGGCCUGCCCCUCAAGAACGGGAUCUUGUAGCCAGUCUCUCCAGGUUUUCGGAGAUUCCUGAGGAUGUGGUCUGAGUGCACAUUGAUGACCCACCCAACCAACCAAAGGAUGCCACCUGCAAAAAAAAAAACACACCAAACAGUGGAUGAAAAAGUGUACAAAUUCUGUGCCUUAAAACAAAUACUGUGCCCGACCUAUGUGUAAGGAAAGCAAAGCCUAAGAUAUCACAAGGCAUCAAGAAAAUGAACAUUUUCUAUCCACAAACCCAGAACUCCUGCACUAUAAGUUCUCAUUUUAAUAAAUGUACUCUGAUUUGUACAAA